GCAGAGAGCCAAAAGGACACCGGCGACGAAGGUGAUGCCCUCAAAUUCGAAUGAUUCCAAUAUAACUUAGAUUAUCUUGGUCCAUUUAUGUUAGAGCUAGUCUCAGAAAAUUUAUCAAAAGAUAAUUUUGACAAUCCAACAAAGAUAAUAAAGCGAAAAGAUAAAAGCGACAAGAACACCAGAUUUACGUAGAUUUACGUAGUUCGAUCAAUUGACCUUGACCUACAUCCACGAACGAAAAAGGAACAAAUCACUACUAUAAAAUGAGACUAUUACAAAUGCCUUAGGAAGAUAUUCCUAGGUCAUAAAACAUCCGAAAAUACUAAACAAGAAAAACUUAAACUAUAAACCCAAAUUAUUUAACUGAGUGUGGACUUAAACCCAAAACAAACACUUAGGUUUUUCUUGUGGUGCAUCUGAUUUCAAAACCCAGACCCUUAUUUAUAGUUUCAAUAAGAGAUAACAAACCUGAUUUUCCCGAUAGGACCAUGAGACUUGUCAAAUUAACAAUUUACAAUUUAUAUGAAGAAUGUAAACAGAUAUGAUGAUGACCGCAUUGACUGGUUGACAAAACAUGUUAACAUCAGCCAUAGACCACAUAGGAUGAAGAUGGUGGAAGUUGCAAGUUUGCAGAAUAUACUAUGUAGUAGUGAAACAGUGACCGAUGGCAUGGCACAGACACUGGAACUUCGAAACAACUUCACAGAAACUGUAGCUUAUGACAACAAUCUAAUAACAAAGAGUAGAGCAAAAAGUAGCUUAACUCACUCUACUAUCAUGCAAAAGCAUACCACUAGUCGCGCGAAUUAGUUCCACAAAAGAAUUAACAGGUAUUCUGCCAUAAUUGUCUCAGCAAUAAAUUUCACAGAUUUAAGACAAUCAGGCCAUUCCAAAGCAAUCCAUAUGUGAAAUGCAGGAUUACAUUAUUUUUUGCAGCAGCUACAUACAUACAUAUGGUGUCUACCAGAAACACAAUUGCUAGUUUCACCAUAGGAAUGGGAUGCACUCACCAGAGCUAGUUGCUGGACACAAGAACUGUGAGGGGAAUGAAUAUGCAGACAUGCUGACAAGGACAUCUUUUUUUGUAAUCAUAUAAUCAAUUACAAUUUAUUCUGGAAUGAAUUUCGUUGACUAAUUUGCAUAUUAUCUCUGGUUCUUUAAAUUGCCAUCAUCAUCAUAUCCGACAAUCAAAAACUAUAUGGAGUUGCAUUCAAAUUUAUCAAGCAGAGAUUAAAAAGAAGAGGAACGGAUCUGCGCAUCCGCUCCGGGUUAUCGAGGAAUGAAACACUCGGACCAGCAAACAUGUAAAAAAUGCACUUACUACAUUUUGAGACAAUUAUAUAGAGUUGGCUGACAAUUUCUUUAAUCUAUAGGCCAAGAAUAUGAAAAAACAAAAAUCCAAAAAGGCUAGACAAAAUAAUCCCAUUGUUGAACAGUAUACGAUCUUUUGCCUCAUUCCUGUUCAAGAUGCAACUAAAGGAAGAGGCUACAUCAACUAGCUGACAGAAUCUAGUCGAUGCCAUACAGACUGACACACAAGAAAAUGUUUGUGCAUUUAAUGGACGAUCAUAUUGGUUAGAUGCAAGUUGGAGGAAUGAAAAGGAUCUUGCCCCAGAGUUAAGUUGAAAGAUAAUUAAUUGAAGAAAACUGUACUGGCCUUGGAUCUAUAAUAAGUUUAAUACUUUCUACAGAAAAUCUUUAGCAUGACUUUCAUGCUCUCCUUCUGUCGACUAGUUUCCAAAGUAUUCCACACACUUGUACAUAUGAUAACUACUUCUCUGCUAAAACAUUAGAUUUCCUCCUGGGUAGGGAACCUGGACUUAGAAUGUCACCACCAUCAUCGCUAUCAGAAAGUGGAUGAGACCGGACAAUUAAGCCAAUUAAUUGAAAAGGCGAAUCCAUUGAGAAAAGGAUAGAUAAAUGGAAGUGAGAUUAUGUUUGGACACCAGCACUAAAGAAUCUGCUAAAGCAUUCAAAUUGCCAAGAGAAGGAAGUGGAAUCAUCUUUGAGACCUUUUUCUCUUAGACACCAGAAAGUUGAAGCAAAAGACAUGGUAGAUAUGGGACACAGCUUGGGUUACAUUACCAAAGGUUACAUUAACAGAAAAGGAUCAAGAG
rnacentral:lncRNA from 1 species